rnacentral:rRNA from 1 species
UACGAAGGGGGCUAGCGUUGUUCGGAAUUACUGGGCGUAAAGCGCGCGUAGGCGGUGAUCUUUGUCAGAGGUGAAAGCCCGGGGCUCAACUCCGGAAUUGCCUUUGAAACGGGAUCGCUAGAGUCCGAGAGAGGAUGGCGGAAUUCCUAGUGUAGAGGUGAAAUUCGUAGAUAUUAGGAAGAACACCGGUGGCGAAGGCGGCCAUCUGGCUCGGUACUGACGCUCAGGCGCGAAAGCGUGGGGAGCAAAC